UCUAUUUGAACCCAGCACGACUCUGGGGGCUCAGUGAAGGUUGCUGGAGCUCAGGGGAUUGUUCUUCCACCUUCCUCUCUCUCUCUCUCUAGGGUUUUUCUCUCUCUACAUAGAAAUCGACGAUUUUGCUCGUUUUCGUCGCCUCGCUUGUUCGUCGCUUGUUGCGAGUGUUACGGAGCCCUUGUGAACGUGUGAGAGAGUACUUUGGAAGUCUUUUCGCAGCUCUGGACCAGCGAGCUACUGGUUGGAGGCUUGGCGAGGUAAUCGGCUCUACUUUUCCAUUAUUAACGUCGAUUUGAGUAUUGUUUUCAGGUUUUAGCUUCCCGCUGCUUUAAACUGAGAUUUCAGCUUGUAUUUAUGAGUUAUUUAGCUGAGAAUUAACCCUCUUAGAUCUGGGAUAAGCCACUUGGAAGCUUAAUUGGAAUAAUUAGCCAUUUAUGAAGCUAUUUCGGACUAUAUACGGGUUAUGCGACCGAAUUGAUACAAUUUGAAAAUUGUUCUCUUUGCAGCAGGUUUUUGAACCUUAUUAAACGAAUUAGUGACCUUGGGACUGAGUUUAGAAGGUGUUCUAACUACGGGUAAGCAGGAAUUUCAGCUAGGAAUUAAAUCUUGCGAGAAUUCGACUAUUAUAGCUUAUAUUCGACAAUAUUGAUGCCGUUUCGGUAUUGCUCGCAGCGAGAGGGUAUUUGACCCUUGGACCGUCUUCGACUGGCCUUGGAGAACCUUUUGGAAGCUUAACUUGAGCAGCAGUGGGACCUCGUGGGGCUGAUUUUGGGACCCUUGCAAACUGUUUUGGAGCUUUGUACGAGAGCCUGUUACAGGAGAGGCUAGGGAUCGUGGCAAGGGAGUCGCGCCUAGCUAGGGACUACUAGGAGCGUGCUAGUCGAUCACCUUGAUACUCGGGCUACGACCGAGGGUGAUGUCCCUUUGUAUAGAGAAACCACCAUUAUAUCUAUCAUAUUUUUGUAUACUCGUGAUGUAUUUGUACCACUUGGACCGUGAACUACAGUUGUGACACUUCUCUUCUGUCGAGAUUUUGGGAUUGUACACUCUUAGUCUUUUGUUGAUAUAUAUCGACCUGUACAUUGCUCUGAUAUCAGGAUAGGACUUUCUUUGUUUUA